rnacentral:rRNA from 1 species
GGAGGGUGCAAGCGUUGUUCGGAAUUACUGGGCGUAAAGGGCGCGUAGGCGGUUUGAUAAGUCAGAUGUGAAAGCCCACGGCUUAACCGUGGAAGUGCAUUUGAUACUGUCAGACUUGAGUACCAGAGGGGAAAGUGGAAUUCCCGGUGUAGAGGUGAAAUUCGUAGAUAUCGGGAGGAAUACCGGUGGCGAAGGCGACUUUCUGGCUGAGUACUGACGCUGAGGCGCGAAAGCGUGGGGAGCAAACAGGAUUAGAUACCCUGGUAGUCCACGCUGUAAACGAUGUCAACUAGAUGUAGGGGGUGUUGAUCCCUUCUGUGUCGCAGCUAACACAUUAAGUUGACCGCCUGGGGAGUACGGUCGCAAGAUUA